UACAGAGGUCUCAAGCGUUGUUCGGAUUCAUUGGGCGUAAAGGGUGCGUAGGUGGCGGGGCAAGUUUGGUGUGAAAUCCCGGGGCUCAACCCCGGAACUGCACUGAAUACUGCCUUGCUAGAGCACUGGAGAGGGAACUGGAAUUUACGGUGUAGCAGUGAAAUGCGUAGAUAUCGUAAGGAAGACCAGUGGCGAAGGCGAGUUCCUGGACAGUUGCUGACACUGGAGGCACGAAGGCCAGGGGAGCAAACGGG
rnacentral:rRNA from 1 species